rnacentral:tRNA from 1 species
GCGCGAGUGGCGGAAGGGCAGACGCGUCAGGCUUAGAACCUGAUGUCCGAUGGACGUGGGGGUUCGAAUCCCCCCUCGCGCA